rnacentral:tRNA from 1 species
GGAGAGGUGGCUGAGUGGUCGAAAGCGACUGAUUCGAAAUCAGUUGUACAGCAAUGUACCGGGGGUUCGAAUCCCUCUCUCUCCG